UACAGAGGUCCCAAGCGUUGUUCGGAUUCACUGGGCGUAAAGGGUGCGUAGGCGGUUGGGUAAGUCUGUCGUGAAAUCUCCGAGCCUAACUCGGAAACUGCGUCGGAUACUAUUCAACUCGAGGAAUGGAGGGGAGACUGGAAUUCUCGGUGUAGCAGUGAAAUGCGUAGAUAUCGAGAGGAACACCAGUGGCGAAGGCGAGUCCCUGGACAACACCUGACACUGAGGCACGAAAGCCGGGGGAGCAAACAGG
rnacentral:rRNA from 1 species